rnacentral:rRNA from 1 species
GACGAACGCUGGCGGCGUGCUUAACACAUGCAAGUCGAACGGAAAGGCCCUGCUUUUGUGCGGUGCUCGAGUGGCGAACGGGUGAGUAACACGUGAGUAACCUGCCCUUGACUUUGGGAUAACCUCAGGAAACUGGGGCUAAUACCGGAUAGGAGCUCUUGCUGCAUGGUGGGGGUUGGAAAGUUUCGGCGGUUGGGGAUGGACUCGCGGCUCAUCAGCUUGUUGGUGGGGUAGUGGCUUACCAAGGCUUUGACGGGUAGCCGGCCUGAGAGGGUGACCGGCCACAUUGGGACUGAGAUACGGCCCAGACUCCUACGGGAGGCAGCAGUGGGGAAUAUUGCACAAUGGGCGGGAGCCUGAUGCAGCAACGCCGCGUGCGGGAUGACGGCCUUCGGGUUGUAAACCGCUUUCGCCUGUGACGAAGCGUGAGUGACGGUAAUGGGUAAAGAAGCACCGGCUAACUACGUG